AUAUGGCUCAGGAUGAACGCUAGCUACAGGCUUAACACAUGCAAGUCGAGGGGCAGCAUGAACUUAGCUUGCUAAGUUUGAUGGCGACCGGCGCACGGGUGAGUAACACGUAUCCAACCUUCCCGUUACUCUGGAAUAGCCUUUCGAAAGAAAGAUUAAUACCGGAUAGUAUCGAGAGAUUGCAUGAUUACCCGAUUAAAGAUUCAUCGGUAACGGAUGGGGAUGCGUUCCAUUAGG
rnacentral:rRNA from 1 species